AACAGGAUUAGAUACCCUGGUAGUCCACGCCGUAAACGAUGUCGACUUGGAGGCUGUUCCCUUGAGGAGUGGCUUCCGGAGCUAACGCGUUAAGUCGACCGCCUGGGGAGUACGGCCGCAAGGUUAAAACUCAAAUGAAUUGACGGGGGCCCGCACAAGCGGUGGAGCAUGUGGUUUAAUUCGAUGCAACGCGAAGAACCUUACCUACUCUUGACAUCCAGAGAAUUUAGCAGAGAUGCUUUAGUGCCUUCGGGAACUCUGAGACAGGUGCUGCAUGGCUGUCGUCAGCUCGUGUUGUGAAAUGUUGGGUUAAGUCCCGCAACGAGCGCAACCCUUAUCCUUUGUUGCCAGCGCGUAAUGGCGGGAACUCAAAGGAGACUGCCGGUGAUAAACCGGGGGAAGGUGGGGAUGACGUCAAGUCAUCAUGGCCCUUACGAGUAGGGCUACACACGUGCUACAAUGGCGCAUACAAAGAGAAGCGACCUCGCGAGAGCAAGCGGACCUCAUAAAGUGCGUCGUAGUCCGGAUUGGAGUCUGCAACUCGACUCCAUGAAGUCGGAAUCGCUAGUAAUCGUAAAUCAGAAUGUUACGGUGAAUACGUUCCCGGGCCUUGUACACACCGCCCGUCACACCAUGGGAGUGGGUUGCAAAAGAAGUAGAUAGCUUAACCUUCGGGAGGGCGUUUACCACCUUGUGAUUCAUGACUGGGGUGAAGUCGUAACAAGGUAACCGUAGGGGAACCUGCGGCUGGAUCACCUCCUU
rnacentral:rRNA from 1 species